AAGCACUUAUUGCGCUGCAAAUACCAUCGGCAAACCCACCAAAGAAACCAAGUCCCCCGGGUCCUCCAGGUCCCCAACCCGGCCCACCAGGGCCAGGUCCCCAACCCGGUCCACCAGGUCCUCCAGGUCCCCAACCCGGCCCACCAGGUCCUGGUCCCCAACCCGGUCCUCCAGGUCCGGGUCCUCCUCCUCCGCCUCCUGGCCCAGGUCCUCCAGGUCCCAUUGUGGAGUGAUAUUAAUCUCUGUGCGUCUUCUGGAGUCGGAGAUGCCGUAUGGGACUGAACCCAACAAAGAGACAGAUAGUGUGAGUGUGUGUGUGUGUGUUUUGUCGAAAGGGAAAGGGUUGUGCCGUCCUAAGUUUGGAGUUCAAAAGCAUUGAAAAAUGAAAAGUUUACGAGACAGCAUUCAAAAAUAUUUGGCAGCAUAUAAUACGAAGACCAUCCCAAAGGCAAAGGCAGCAG
rnacentral:lncRNA from 1 species